AUGUCAGAAACUCAGCAAGGGUAGGUGUAUGGUGAAGAGUUGUUUGUGCUGUCUGCAAUGGAGAGCAGAAACCUAAUUGAGGCUGCUGCCCUUAGAAACGCAGCCUCAGGGAGUGUCCUGGGGCAGAGGGGUGUGGAGGUUUCUAGAAGAGUGCCAAGAGGAGGGAUCCUGAAUUCAGCCUUGGCUGAGAAGCCAAACAAGUAUUUGGAAGCGAGUAUGUUGGACCAUAUACACGCUUGGCUCUUUGAUCUUCCUGGUGCCCAUCCGUUUCAGCAGAUCCCCCCUACCCCCGCCAGGCAAAGCACUAAGAGCAAGAGAGCAUUUCUGUGCACGGCAACGAACAUGAAUGGCUCCUAAAGCACUUUCAAGUAUAUUAUUCAGUACAGUGAUUUCGUUGGAUCUUUAAAGAGAGUUUUUGGUCUUAAGUAAAAAGGAUUGAUUCUGAAAUCCGAUCGGUUUGAAUUUGCCACUGAUUAUUUACGUCGAAAUGAAAAGAAAUGUCCUUCUGCCUAAGCCCUUGGUUCUAGCGCUCGGUUUUAAAUGCUGGGAGCUUAGAGCCCAGAAGCACUUUUUCUCUGAAUCAGCUGACCUUGACCAGAAGAUCCGAGAGGACUGGAUGCAGCUUAGUGUCACAGGACAUCUUCCACCUCCAUUAAAUCGAUGCAAAGGCAGUGUUGACAUCACGGAACAGAUUGAGACAGGUGGCUUCGUCAGAAAUAUUGCCACGUCUUUCUCGAAGGCAACACAGAAGUUGGCCUAGGCUCAACCCUGGGUACACGCAGUAAGGUUUAUCGAAAAGGUGGUCACAAAAGGCAUUCAUUGGGAGGUGAAUGGAUAAAUGAACUGUGACACGUGGUGACAAUGGAACAUUAUUCAGCACUAAGAAGAAAUGAACUAUCAAGCUGUGAAAAGAUGUAAAGGAAAAUUAAAUGCAUGUUACUAAGUGGAAGAAAACAAUCUGAAAUGGCCAUGUUCGGUAUGGUUCCCGCUGCACAAAAUUUUGGAAAAGGCAAAACUACAGAAACUGUUAAAAAUCAGUGGAUGGGGGUGCCUGGGUGGCUCAGUGGGUUAAGGCCUCUUCCUUUGGCUUGGG